CUCACUUGACGCAUGUCCAUUGUGCGUGUGCUAACUUUCUCUCAUGCCGCACAGAUAGACUACUACUGUAUUUUUACCAUUUUUUCUUUCACCUCAUAUUUGGUGUCAAAUGCUGAUACUAUGUGGGAAUGCAUAAAGAAACCCCCGGCAGAUAUGCUGCGCUGCAUCCCAACAGAUUAGUGACUGGCUGCCGCCGAGAGGUCAAAAAGAGUCUGCGAUGGAGGGAAAGGCAGUAGGCGGCCGGAGUAGGUCUAGCAGCAGCAUCAGCUGGAGAGCAGCAAGUCAAAUGUCAAGUCAAGACGGAGGAUCACGUAUCCAAGCUCACCAGAAGUUGAUCAGAGUUUUACAACAAAGCAUCCGAGCUUUUCCUGGAGAAGCAUAGGGUGCAUGUACUUCAUAUAAAGAUGAAAGUGCGCGUACAUGCGUGCGCAAGCAGAUGAGUCCAUGAACUGAAGCGUGUGUGGAGAGCGAGACGGAGAGACAGACCAGAGACGAGAGCGGGUAAACAUAUUCCUCUUUACCUUGGAUUCACUGGCUGAGUCACUGCAGAUGGAGGGCAUUUUUCAUGCUGCAUUGCAACGUGGGUCUCUUUGCUGCAUUAUUUUCUAUGACACCCCCACCCCGAAGGAUGUUGGCGUCUUAAGGAGGCCCCUUGACUGUGAUUAAUACAACAUGCCGCCAUUAGCGACUGACAUUUGAUUUCUUCUCCCACGCCCGUCGCACAUCUGCCGCAUUCUUCACCAGCCGGGUUAUGGCUGCACUACCUGAUGAAGAACGACACUGAGCAGAAUAUUUAAACUCCCAUCUGGCUCCUUUUUCCAUUUUUGUCACCCACAUACCUUUUAGUAGACGCUGUGGCUCCUCCUCCUCGCCAAGCACACGUGUGGCGCCGCUCUCAAUCUGGAUGAUUGCUGUUG